rnacentral:lncRNA from 1 species
UCUGUUUCCCCCGUCCCUUCUGAAUUUAAUUUGCACUAAGUCAUUUGCACUGGUUGGAGUUGUGGAGACGGCCUUGAGUCUCAGUACGAGUGUGCGUGAGUGUGAGCCACCUUGGCAAGUGCCUGUGCAGGGCCCGGCCGCCCUCCAUCUGGGCCGGGUGACUGGGCGCCGGCUGUGUGCCCGAGGCCUCACCCUGCCCUCGCCUAGUCUGGAAGCUCCGACCGACAUCACGGAGCAGCCUUCAAGCAUUCCAUUACGCCCCAUCUCGCUCUGUGCCCCUCCCCACCAGGGCUUCAGCAGGAGCCCUGGACUCAUCAUCAAUAAACACUGUUACAGCAAUUUGUCUCGAGGACUCUGGAAUCCGGGCUGUGGGCAU